rnacentral:misc_RNA from 1 species
GGGAAAGAGAGAGGGAACGGGAGAGGUCUCGUGAGCGCUCCCAUGACAGGCCAAGGGAACGUGACCAGAGAGAAGAUAGGCACCACAGAGAUCGUGACAGGGAGAAGGACCGAGAUAGGGAGAGAGAACGUGGACGGGACAGGGAUCGUGACCGUGCACGUGAUCGUGAUAGAGGCCGGGACCGUGGUCGGGGUGAUCGUGACAGAGAGCGUGGUCGGGAGCAUGAUCGUGAUCGCCCUCGGGAGAGGGAGAGGGAGAGGGAGAGUGAUUAUGAAGUUGGUGACCAUGGUCGUGGGCGUUCACAUGAUAGAGAAUCUGAUUAUGAUCAUGUUGACUCAAAACACGAGAGGGAUCGCCGUGCUGAAAGGGACUAUGAUCAUACUGAGCUAGAGGAUGACCAUGGUUGGUAUGAACAACCUGAGCAGGGGCACAGGCAGCCAGAU